GGUUGUGGCUCAGAGGUAGAGUGCUCACCUAGCAUGUGUGAGGCCCUAGGUUCGAUCCUCAGCACCA
rnacentral:tRNA from 1 species